AACGAACGCUGGCGGCAGGCUUAACACAUGCAAGUCGAACGCUCGUAGCAAUACGGGAGUGGCGGACGGGUGAGUAACGCGUGGGAACGUGCCCUGAGGUACGGAAUAACUGCGGGAAACUGCAGCUAAUACCGUAUGAGCCCCGUGAGGGGGAAAGAUUAUCGCCUUAGGAGCGGCCCGCGUCGGAUUAGCUAGUUGGUGGGGUAACGGCUUACCAAGGCUUCGAUCCGUAGCUGGUCUGAGAGGACGAUCAGCCACACUGGGACUGAGACACGGCCCAGACUCCUACGGGAGGCAGCAGUGGGGAAUCUUGCGCAAUGGGGGGCAACCCUGACGCAGCCAUGCCGCGUGAAUGAUGAAGGCCUUAGGGUUGUAAAGUUCUUUGCCCGUGACGAUGAUGACGGUAACGGGAGAAUAAGCUCCGGCUAACUUCGUGCCAGCAGCCGCGGUAAAGUCUGUACU
rnacentral:rRNA from 1 species